UUGAACGCUGGCGGCAUGCUUUACACCUGCAAGUCGCACGGUAACAGGCCUUCGGGUGCUGACGAGUGGCGAACGGGUGAGUAAUGCAUCGGAACGUACCCAGAGGUGGGGGAUAACGCAGCGAAAGCUGUGCUAAUACCGCAUGUGAUCUGAGGAUGAAAGCGGGGGACCGAGCAGCAAUGUUUGGCCUCGCGCCUUUGGAGCGGCCGAUGUCGGAUUAGCUAGUUGGUGGGGUAAAGGCCUACCAAGGCGACGAUCCGUAGCUGGUCUGAGAGGACGACCAGCCACACUGGGACUGAGACACGGCCCAGACUCCUACGGGAGGCAGCAGUGGGGAAUUUUGGACAAUGGGCGCAAGCCUGAUCCAGCAAUGCCGCGUGCGGGAAGAAGGCCUUCGGGUUGUAAACCGCUUUUGGCAGGAACGAAACGGUGUCCGCUAAUACCGGGCGCUAAUGACGGUACCUGCAGAAUAAGCACCGGCUAACUACGUG
rnacentral:rRNA from 1 species